rnacentral:rRNA from 1 species
GGACCCCACUGCUAUCGGGAUGGGACUAAGACAUGUUAGUCGAGCGUCUCCAAGCUAUGAUGGAGGCGCGGCGUACAGCUCAGUAACACGUGGCUAACCUGCCCUUGGGACAAGGACAACCCCGGGAAACUGAGGCUAAUCCUUGAUAGGUGAGAACUCCUGGAAUGGAUUCUUGCUCAAAAGAUGCUUUGAUCAUGCUUCUAGGCAUCGCCCAAGGAGGGGGCCGCGGCCGAUCAGGUUGUUGGUGAGGUAACGGCUCACCAAGCCUCUGACCGGUACGGGCCGUGAGAGCGGAAGCCCGGAGAUGGGCACUGAGACAAUGGCCCAGGCCCUACGGGGCGCAGCAGUCGCGAAAACUCCGCAAUACACGAAAGUGUGACGGGGCUAUCCCGAGUGCCAUCCGCUGAGGAUAGCUUUUCCCCAGUGUAUAAAGCUGGGAGAAUAAGGAGAGGGCAAGCCUGGUGUCAGCCGCCGCGGUAAUACCAGCUCUCCGAGUGGUGGGGAUGUUUAUUGGGCCUAAAGCAUUCGUAGCCUGCUAGCCAAGUCCUCCGUUAAAUCCACCGAUUCAAUCGUUGGGCUGCGGGGGAUACUGUCUAGCUAGGGGGCGGAAGAGGCCGACGGUAUCCCCGGGGUAGGGGUGAAAUCCUAUAAUCCCGGGUGGACCACCAGUGGCGAANGCUGUCGGCUAGAACGCGCUCGACGGUGAGGGAUGAAAGCUGGGGGAGCGAACCGGAUUAGAUACCCGGGUAGUCCCAGCUGUAAACGAUGCANGCUAGGUGUUGGCGCGGCUACNUGCCGCUCCAGUGCCGCAGGGAAGCCGUUAAGCCUGCCGCCUGGGAAGUA